rnacentral:rRNA from 1 species
UGGGUCAGCGACUUAUAUUCUGUAGCAAGGUUAACCGAAUAGGGGAGCCGGAGGGAAACCGAGUCUUAACCGGGCGUUAAGUUGCAGGGUAUAGACCCGAAACCCGGUGAUCUAGCCAUGGGCAGGUUGAAGGUUGGGUAACACUAACUGGAGGACCGAACCGACUAAUGUUGAAAAAUUAGCGGAUGACCUGUGGCUGGGGGUGAAAGGCCAAUCAAACCGGGAGAUAGCUGGUUCUCCCCGAAAGCUAUUUAGGUAGCGCCUCGUGAAUUCAUCUCCGGGGGUAGAGCACUGUUUCGGCUAGGGGGCCAUCCCGGCUUACCAACCCGAUGCAAACUGCGAAUACCGGAGAAUGUUAUCACGGGAGACACACGGCGGGUGCUAACGUCUGUCGUGAAGAGGGAAACAACCCAGACCGCCAGCUAAGGUCCCAAAGUCAUGGUUAAGUGGGAAACGAUGUGGGAAGGCCCAGACAGCCAGGAUGUUGGCUUAGAAGCAGCCAUCAUUUAAAGAAAGCGUAAUAGCUCACUGGUCGAGUCGGCCUGCGCGGAAGAUGUAACGGGGCUAAACCAUGCACCGAAGCUGCGGCAGCGAACGUAUCACCCAAGACAACUUUACGGAGUUAACGAUUGACGGAGCGAAGCGACGUCAAAGCGUUCAUUAAAGUCGAGUUGGCUUAGGGAUACGUUCGUUGGGUAGGGGAGCGUUCUGUAAGCCUGUGAAGGUGGCCUGUGAGGGUUGCUGGAGGUAUCAGAAGUGCGAAUGCUGACAUAAGUAACGAUAAAGCGGGUGAAAAGCCCGCUCGCCGGAAGACCAAGGGUUCCUGUCCAACGUUAAUCGGGGCAGGGUGAGUCGACCCCUAAGGCGAGGCCGAAAGGCGUAGUCGAUGGGAAACGGGUUAAUAUUCCCGUACUUGGUGUUACUGCGAAGGGGGGACGGAGAAGGCUAUGUUGGCCGGGCGACGGUUGUCCCGGUUUAAGCGUGUAGGCUGGUUUUCCAGGCAAAUCCGGAAAAUCAAGGCUGAGGCGUGAUGACGAGGCACUACGGUGCUGAAGCAACAAAUGCCCUGCUUCCAGGAAAAGCCUCUAAGCAUCAGGUAACAUCAAAUCGUACCCCAAACCGACACAGGUGGUCAGGUAGAGAAUACCAAGGCGCUUGAGAGAACUCGGGUGAAGGAACUAGGCAAAAUGGUGCCGUAACUUCGGGAGAAGGCACGCUGACA